rnacentral:rRNA from 1 species
GACGAACGCUGGCGGCGUGCUUAACACAUGCAAGUCGAACGAAGAGCGAUGGAAGCUUGCUUCUAUCAAUCUUAGUGGCGAACGGGUGAGUAACGCGUAAUCAACCUGCCCUUCAGAGGGGGACAACAGUUGGAAACGACUGCUAAUACCGCAUACGAUCUAACCUCGGCAUCGAGGAUAGAUGAAAGGUGGCCUCUACAUGUAAGCUAUCACUGAAGGAGGGGAUUGCGUCUGAUUAGCUAGUUGGAGGGGUAACGGCCCACCAAGGCGAUGAUCAGUAGCCGGUCUGAGAGGAUGAACGGCCACAUUGGGACUGAGACACGGCCCAGACUCCUACGGGAGGCAGCAGUGGGGAAUCUUCCGCAAUGGACGAAAGUCUGACGGAGCAACGCCGCGUGAGUGAGGACGGCCGUCGGGUUGUAAAGCUCUGUUAAUCGGGACGAAAGGCCUUCUUGCGAAUAGUUAGAAGGAUUGACGGUACCGGAAUAGAAAGCCACGGCUAACUACGUG